rnacentral:rRNA from 1 species
CGUGGGGUGCGAGCGUUGUUCGGAAUUACUGGGCGUAAAGCGUGUGAAGGCGGUUUGCUAAGUCUGGUGUGAAAGCCCUGAGCUUAACUCAGGAACUGCGCCGGAAACUAGUAGACUAGAGUUCGGGAGAGGGUCGUGGAAUUCCUGGUGUAGAGGUGAAAUUCGUAGAUAUCAGGAGGAACACCGGUGGCGAAGGCGGCGACCUGGACCGACACUGACGCUAAUACACGAAAGCGUGGGGAGCAAACAGGAUUAGAUACCCUGGUAGUCCACGCUGUAAACGAUGAACACUAGUUGUCGUGGGUAUUGACCCCUACGGUGACGCAGAUAACUCAUUAAGUGUUCCGCCUGGGAAGUACGGUCGCAAGACUA